CGAAAGCCUGACGGAGCAACGCCGCGUGAGGGACAAAGGCCUUUGGGCUGUAAACCUCUUUUCUCAAGGAAGAAGAUCUGACGGUACUUGAGGAAUAAGCCACGGCUAAUUCCGUGCCAGCAGCCGCGGUAAUACGGGAGUGGCAAGCGUUAUCCGGAAUUAUUGGGCGUAAAGCGUCCGCAGGCGGCCGUCUAAGUCUGUUGUUAAAUCGUGGAGCUCAACUCCAUCACGGCAAUGGAAACUGUUCGGCUUGAGUAUGGUAGGGGCAGAGGGAAUUUCCGGUGUAGCGGUGAAAUGCGUAGAUAUCGGGAAGAACACCAGUGGCAAAAGCGCUCUGCUGGGCCAUUACUGACGCUCAUGGACGAAAGCCAGGGGAGCGAAAGGGAUUAGAUACCCCUGUAGUCCUGGCCGUAAACGAUGAACACUAGAUGUUGGGGGAAUCGACCCCCUCGGUGUCGUAGCUAACGCGUUAAGUGUUCCGCCUGGGGAGUACGCACGCAAGUGUGAAACUCAAAGGAAUUGACGGGGGACCGCACAAGCGGUGGAGUAUGUGGUUUAAUUCGAUGCAACGCGAAGAACCUUACCAAGGCUUGACAUCCUGCGAAUCUCUAAGAAACUAGAGAGUGCCUUCGGGAACGCAGUGACAGGUGGUGCAUGGCUGUCGUCAGCUCGUGUCGUGAGAUGUUGGGUUAAGUCCCGCAACGAGCGCAACCCACGUUUUUAGUUGCCAGCAUUAAGUUGGGCACUCUAGAAAGACUGCCGGUGACAAACCGGAGGAAGGUGUGGACGACGUCAAGUCAUCAUGCCCCUUACGCCUUGGGCUACACACGUACUACAAUGCUGCAGACAAAGAGUAGCGAUCUUGCAAAAGUUAGCUAAUCUCAUAAACUGCGGCUCAGUUCAGAUCGUAGGCUGCAACUCGCCUACGUGAAGGAGGAAUCGCUAGUAAUCGCAGGUCAGCAUACUGCGGUGAAUACGUUCCCGGUCCUUGUACACACCGCCCGUCACACCAUGGAAGUUGGCCAUGCCCGAAGUCGUUACUCUAACCUUUUGGAAGAGGGCGCCGAAGGCGGGGCUAAUGACUGGGGUGAAGUCGUAACAAGGUAACCGUAGCGGAAGCUGCGGCUGGAUCACCUCCUAA
rnacentral:rRNA from 1 species